UGGAAAAAAUGGAUCAAAGAGGAUGCUUUGGCUGGAUUAAUGUCAUCAUUGGCAGUAGGUUUUAAAUAUUUGCAGAGGUGAAGAUUUUCUCCCAUGUACCUAAGCUUUGUACUUGUCAACUUCAUCCUCAUCAGCUUCAUUCCUUCAUGCAUUCUGUGGAAGUUGGCGAAGAAACGAGCCGUUCAACUUCUCACAUGAAGAUUCUCAGAGCAAGUGAAGGUGACUGGACGGGCGCUUACAGUACCAUCUGCCUUAAUCAGCUAAGCAGAUCAGCAGACCCAUUCACAUCCAUAGGCCUUACUACAGUCCAGGCAGGAGGAGGCCCUUCUCCAUUUCACUAUUGCCAGAGCCCCUGAAGCUGGAGCCACCCUCUGUGGAAUGAGUGAUGGAACUUAAAGAACGUGAUUGCUGGCUGCUUCAGAAGGCCAUCAAACAUCAGAUA